GCUGCUGUUGCCUUUUAUGGAAAUAAAUUGUGGCCUAGUAUCACCUAACUAUAUAGGCCUCUUGCAUUAAAAAGUACCUAUAAUAUUAUGUAUUCAUUUGUUGCAUUUAUUACCUAAACAUGGCAAUUUUAAUAAUUUACCUUAGAUCUACAUAAAAAUCACAGUUAAGGGGUGAGUUGGCGUUCCUAGUUCCUGCUCAAAGGCGAGUCGUCGCUCCUCCACGGCGAGUUGUUGCGUCUCCACAGCCAGCCGACGCUCCUCAACGUCGAUGCGACGUUCCGUCUGGUGGAGCCGACGCUCCUCCAGCUCCACGAGCCGAGCACGUACCGCCUAACCAACCCCUUCCGACAGCUGAAAAUAAAAAUUAUAUUUUACA